rnacentral:rRNA from 1 species
AGGGAACGCUGGCGGCAGGCUUAACACAUGCAAGUCGAGCGGGCAUCCUUGUGGUGUCAGCGGCAGACGGGUGAGUAACGCGUGGGAACGUGCCCUUCGGUUCGGAAUAACUCAGGGAAACUUGAGCUAAUACCGGAUACGUGCGAGAGCAGAAAGGUUUAUCUGCCGAAGGAUCGGCCCGCGUCUGAUUAGCUAGUUGGUGAGGUUAUGGCUCACCAAGGCGACGAUCAGUAGCUGGUCUGAGAGGAUGAUCAGCCACACUGGGACUGAGACACGGCCCAGACUCCUACGGGAGGCAGCAGUGGGGAAUAUUGGACAAUGGGGGCAACCCUGAUCCAGCCAUGCCGCGUGAGUGAUGACGGCCUUAGGGUUGUAAAGCUCUUUUCUCCGGGACGAUAAUGACGGUACCGGAGGAAUAAGCCCCGGCUAACUUCGUG